UUUUAUGGAGAGUUUGAUCCUGGCUCAGGACGAACGCUGGCGGCGUGCCUAAUACAUGCAAGUCGAGCGAACAGAUGAGGAGCUUGCUCCUUUGACGUUAGCGGCGGACGGGUGAGUAACACGUGGGCAACCUACCUUAUAGUUUGGGAUAACUCCGGGAAACC
rnacentral:rRNA from 1 species